rnacentral:rRNA from 1 species
CAGAGGGGUGCGAGCGUUAAUCGGAUUCACUGGGGCGUAAAGCGUGCGUAGGCGGCUUUUUUAAGUCGGAUGUGAAAUCCCCCGAGCUUAACUUGGGAAUUGCAUUUCGAUACUGGGGAAGCUAGAGUAUGGGGAGAGGAUGGUAGAAUUCCAGGUGUAGCGGUGAAAUGCGUAGAGAUCUGGAGGAAUACCGAUGGCGAAGGCAGCCAUCUGGCCUAAUACUGACGCUGAGGUACGAAAGCAUGGGGAGCAAACAGGAUU